rnacentral:lncRNA from 1 species
UGGACCGCCUCCUUUUCCCCCUUCUUGUGAUUCUUGCACUUUGGAGAUAUAUAUUGGAUUUUUAAAAAAUUAGCAGUUUUAUAUAUAUUGGAAUUUGGUUUGAUAAGCGCUCUAAAUGUGCAAGUCGAGCUUGAGGCUUUCCUAGCUUGCUCAUGGUGGCUCAACUAAGCCCAAAAAUAUGAAUCGAUGCAUAUGCAAUGUAUAUUUUCUUAUAUUUUAUUAAUUAAAACUUAUCCUUCAUUUUUGUUUAGUGAAUACUAUUAUACUUGAAAAGGUGUGAGCCCUUUGGACCUUAAACUAACAGCUUAUCUUAGCUCAAAAUAUAUGCAAUGUCAUGGGUUUUUUUGAUUCUAUGUUCUCAAUAAUCCCUCGAGCAAGCUAUAUGGGGGCAUCAGUUAUAUGGGAGCUAUAUAUAAGCUCAAUCUCAACUCAUAUCAAAGGAUUGAACUUGGCCCAGUGAUAAUUCAAAUCUAGCUUGAUUAUCAGUUGUUUGCUUGAGCUCAAGGUUGUUUAGCCCCUAAUUUGAUGUCACAAAGUGGGAGCAAAGUUGCUUCUAAUGAUGGUGUGGUUAAGUUCAAAUCAAGGUUCAAUGUCUUCGUACCGGAUCCCGUACCAUUACGAUCCUAUUACAGUAUCGGUACACAAUACGGUACGAGACGACGAGGCAUACCGAGUGUCGGUACAGUAGAAGACUGCAUCCAGG